rnacentral:misc_RNA from 1 species
AAGUCGUAACAAGGUCUCCGUUGGUGAACCAGCGGAGGGAUCAUUACCGAGUUUACAACUCCCAAACCCCUGUGAACAUACCAAUCGUUGCCUCGGCGGGAUCGCCCCGGCGCCCCCGGGCCCGGACCCAGGCGCCCGCCGGAGGACCCCCAAAACUCACUGAUUCCACGGUGUAUCUUCUGAGUGACACAAGCAAAUAAAAUCAAAACUUUCAACAACGGAUCUCUUGGUUCUG